rnacentral:misc_RNA from 1 species
GAUGAAGAACGCAGCGAAAUGCGAUAAGUAAUGUGAAUUGCAGAAUUCAGUGAAUCAUCGAAUCUUUGAACGCACAUUGCGCCCGCCAGUAUUCUGGCGAGCAUGCCUGUUCGAGCGUCAUUACAACCCUCAGGCCCCCGGGCCUGGCGUUGGGGAUCGGCGGAAGCCCCCUGUGGGCACACGCCGUCCCUCAAAUACAGUGGCGGUCCCGCCGCAGCUUCCAUUGCGUAGUAGCUAACACCUCGCAACUGGAGAGCGGCGCGGCCAUGCCGUAAAACACCCAACUUCUGAAUGUUGACCUCGAAUCAGGUAGGAAUACCCGCUGAACUUAAGCAUAUCAAUAAGCGGAGGA